AUAAUAGAAAAAUUUUUUUUUAUAAAAAUGCCCACCCCCCCACCAAGGCUCUGCCACACAAACACACACUGCAUCACACACACACACCCUGCAUUCAUACACACACCCUGCAUUCAUACACACACUGCACUCAUACACACACACUGCACUUAUACACACACUGCAUUCAUACACACACUGCAUUCAUACACACACUGCAUUCAUACACACACUGCAUUCAUACACACACCGCAUUCAUACACACACCGCAUUCAUACACACACCGCAUUCAUACACACACCGCAUUCAUACACACACCGCACUCAUACACACACCGCAUUCAUACACACACUGCAUUCAUACACACACAUUGCAUUCAUCAUAUACACACACUGUAAAUAAAUAUUCAAUUAAUAUAAUUUUUUUAGGAUCUAAUUUUAUUUAGAAAUUUACCAGUAGCUGCUGCAUUUCCCACCCUAGUCUUAUACUCGAGUCAAUACGUUUUCCCAGUUUUUUUGGGUAAAAUUAGGGGC